rnacentral:rRNA from 1 species
UACGAAGGGGGCUAGCGUUACUCGGAAUCACUGGGCGUAAAGGGUGCGUAGGCGGGUCUUUAAGUCAGGGGUGAAAUCCUGGAGCUCAACUCCAGAACUGCCUUUGAUACUGAGGAUCUUGAGUUCGGGAGAGGUGAGUGGAACUGCGAGUGUAGAGGUGAAAUUCGUAGAUAUUCGCAAGAACACCAGUGGCGAAGGCGGCUCACUGGCCCGAUACUGACGCUGAGGCACGAAAGCGUGGGGAGCAAACAGGG